rnacentral:rRNA from 1 species
CGCAAACCGACACUGGUGCGCGAGAUGAGUAUUCUAAGGCGCUUGAGAGAACUCAGGAGAAGGAACUCGGCAAAUUGAUACCGUAACUUCGGGAGAAGGUAUGCCCCAAGUAGGUGAACCUGUACAAGGCGAGCCCAAAGGGGUUGCAAAAAAUCGGUGGCUGCGACUGUUUAAUAAAAACACAGCACUCUGCAAACACGAAAGUGGACGUAUAGGGUGUGACGCCUGCCCGGUGCUGGAAGAUUAAAUGAUGGGGUGCAAGCUCUUGACUGAAGUCCCAGUAAACGGCGGCCGUAACUAUAACGGUCCUAAGGUAGCGAAAUUCCUUGUCGGGUAAGUUCCGACCUGCACGAAUGGCGUAACGAUGGCCACACUGUCUCCUCCUGAGACUCAGCGAAGUUGAAAUGUUUGUGAUGAUGCAAUCUCCCCGCGGAAAGACGGAAAGACCCCAUGAACCUUUACUGUAGCUUUGUAUUGGACUUUGAACAGAUCUGUGUAGGAUAGGUGGGAGGCUUUGAAGUGAGGUCGCUAGAUCUCAUGGAGCCAACGUUGAAAUACCACCCUGGUGUGUUUGAGGUUCUAACCUAGGUCCAUUAUCUGGAUCGGGGACAGUGCAUGGUAGGCAGUUUGACUGGGGCGGUCUCCUCCCAAAGCGUAACGGAGGAGUUCGAAGGUACGCUAGUUACGGUCGGACAUCGUGACGAUAGUGCAAUGGCAUAAGCGUGCUUAACUGCGAGACUGACAAGUCGAGCAGAUGCGAAAGCAGGACAUAGUGAUCCGGUGGUUCUGUAUGGAAGGGCCAUCGCUCAACGGAUAAAAGGUACUCUGGGGAUAACAGGCUGAUACCGCCCAAGAGUUCAUAUCGACGGCGGUGUUUGGCACCUCGAUGUCGGCUCAUCUCAUCCUGGGGCUGUAGCCGGUCCCAAGGGUAUGGCUGUUCGCCAUUUAAAGAGGUACGUGAGCUGGGUUUAAAACGUCGUGAGACAGUUUGGUCCCUAUCUUCCGUGGGCGCUGCAGAUUUGAGGAAGCCUGCUCCUAGUACGAGAGGACCGGAGUGGACACACCUCUGGUGUAUCGGUUGUCACGCCAGUGGCAUUGCCGAGUAGCUAAGUGUGGAAGAGAUAACCGCUGAAAGCAUCUAAGCGGGAAACUCGUUUCAAGAUGAGAUCUGCCGGGGCCUUGAGCCCCCUAAAGAGUCGUUCAAGACCAGGACGUUGAUAGGUCAGGUGUGGAAGCGCAGUAAUGCGUUAAGCUAACUGAUACUAAUUGCUCGUGCGGCUUGACCCUAUAACUUUG